rnacentral:rRNA from 1 species
CCUACGGGAGGCAGCAGUAGGGAAUCUUCCACAAUGGGCGAAAGCCUGAUGGAGCAACGCCGCGUGGGUGAAGAAGGUCUUCGGAUCGUAAAACCCUGUUGUUAGAGAAGAAAGUGCGUGAGAGUAACUGUUCACGUUUCGACGGUAUCUAACCAGAAAGCCACGGCUAACUACGUGCCAGCAGCCGCGGUAAUACGUAGGUGGCAAGCGUUAUCCGGAUUUAUUGGGCGUAAAGGGAACGCAGGCGGUCUUUUAAGGCUGAUGGGAAAGCCUUCGGCUUAACCGGAGUAGUGCAUUGGAAACUGGGAGACUUGAGUGCAGAAGAGGAGAGUGGAACUCCAGGUGUAGCGGUGAAAUGCGUAGAUAUAUGGAAGAACACCAGUGGCGAAAGCGGCUCUCUGGUCUGUAACUGACGCUGAGGUUCGAAAGCGUGGGUAGCAAACAGGAUUAGAUACCCCUGUAGUC